rnacentral:rRNA from 1 species
GACGGAGGAUGCAAGUGUUAUCCGGAAUCACUGGGCGUAAAGCGUCUGUAGGUGGUUUAAUAAGUCAACUGUUAAAUCUUGAGGCUCAACCUCAAAAUCGCAGUCGAAACUAUUAGGCUAGAGUAUAGUAGGGGUAAAGGGAAUUUCCAGUGGAGCGGUGAAAUGCGUAGAGAUUGGAAAGAACACCGAUGGCGAAGGCACUUUACUGGGCUAUUACUAGCACUCAGAGACGAAAGCUAGGGUAGCAAAUGGG